rnacentral:rRNA from 1 species
GCGACAAUGGCCGAAAGGCUGACGCAGCAACGCCGCGUGCGGGAUGACGGCCUUCGGGUUGUAAACCGCUUUUAGGGGUGAAGAGGAAGGACGGUAGCCCCUGAAGAAGUCUCGGCUAACUACGUGCCAGCAGCCGCGGUAAAACGUAGGAGGCGAGCGUUAUCCGGAUUUACUGGGUGUAAAGCGCGAGCAGGCGGUUUAUCAAGUGGUGUGUGAAAGCUCUCGGCUCAACCGGGGGAGGACGGACCAAACUGAUAAACUGGAGGUAGGUAGAGGCAGACGGAAUUCCGGGUGUAGUGGUGAAAUGCGUAGAGAUCCGGAGGAACACCAGUGGCGAAGGCGGUCUGCUGGGCCUGACCUGACGCUCAGACGCGAAAGCAUGGGGAGCGAACGGGAUUAGAAACCCCGGUAGUCCAUGCUGUAAACGAUGUGCACUAGGUGUGGCCUCGACAGAGGCUGUGCCGCAGCUAACGUGAUAAGUGCACCACCUGGGGACUACGGCCGCAAGGUUA